AUUGAACGCUAGCGGGAUGCUUUACACAUGCAAGUCGAACGAGUGGCGGACGGGUGAGUAAUGUAUCGGAACGUGCCCAGUAGUGGGGGAUAACUACGCGAAAGCGUGGCUAAUACCGCAUACUAUUGGAGCGGCCGAUAGUAGUUUAGCUCGUGGGUGGGGUAACGGCCUACCAAGGCAGUGAUCUAUAGCUGGUUGGAGAGGACGACCAGCCACACUGGGACUGAGACACGGCCCAGACUCCUACGGGAGGCAGCAGUGGGGAAUUUUGGACAAUGGGGGAAACCCUGAUCCAGCCAUCCCGCGUGUAUGAUGAAGGCCUUCGGGUUGUAAAGUACUUUUGGCAGAGAAGCGGUAUCUGCAGAAUAAGCACCGGCUAACUACGUGCCAGCAGCCGCGGUAAUAC
rnacentral:rRNA from 1 species